GACGAACGCUGGCGGCAGGCUUAACACAUGCAAGUCGAACGCAUCCUUCGGGGUGAGUGGCAGACGGGUGAGUAACGCGUGGGAACGUGCCCUUCAGUUCGGGAUAACCCAGGGAAACUUGGGCUAAUACCGGAUACGUGCGAGAGCAGAAAGAUUUAUCGCUGAAGGAUCGGCCCGCGUCUGAUUAGCUAGUUGGUGGGGUAAUGGCCCACCAAGGCGACGAUCAGUAGCUGGUCUGAGAGGAUGACCAGCCACAUUGGGACUGAGACACGGCCCAAACUCCUACGGGAGGCAGCAGUGGGGAAUAUUGGACAAUGGGCGCAAGCCUGAUCCAGCCAUGCCGCGUGAGUGAUGAAGGCCUUAGGGUUGUAAAGCUCUUUCGUCCGGGACGAUAAUGACGGUACCGGAAGAAGAAGCCCCGGCUAACUUCGUGCCAGCCGCCGCGGUAAGAC
rnacentral:rRNA from 1 species